rnacentral:snoRNA from 1 species
AUGGCAGUGAUGAUUGGCGCAGGGGUACGGACCUCAGCUAAAUCAUGGGAGCUGAAUGUGAACUCGACUUUUCCCAGUGUGACUGACAUUUGGUUUGUUGCCUGGAAACAAGUUCACAUGACAACUUUGCCUAGCACUGAGCCAU